AGUGAACCGGGAAAAGCUCAAAUUUGUAAUCUGGCUGUCUUCGAUAGUCCGAGUUGUAAUCUAUAGACGUGUUUUCCGUGCUGGACCGUAUCUAAGUCCCUUGGAACAGGGUAUCAAAGAGGGUGACAAUCCCGUGCUUGAUACGACCACCAGUGCUCUGUGAUACACGCUCUACGAGUCGAGUUGUUUGGGAAUGCAGCUCAAAAUGGGUGGUAAAUUCCAUCUAAAGCUAAAUAUUGGCGAGAGACCGAUAGCGAACAAGUACCGUGAGGGAAAGAUGAAAAGCACUUUGGAAAGAGAGUUAAACAGUACGUGAAAUUGUUGAAAGGGAAACGAUUGAAGUCAGUCGUGUUCUUUGGAUUCAGCUAGUUCUUCUAGUCUACUUCCUUUGAACGGGUCAACAUCAGUUUUGUCCGGUGGAUAAAGAUAGUAGGAAUGUAGCUCCCUCGGGAGUGUUAUAGACUAUUAUUGCAUGCACUGGGUGAGACUGAGGACUGCAGCUCGCCUUUUGGCCGACCUUCGGGUACGUUCGAGCUUAGGAUGUUGACA
rnacentral:rRNA from 1 species